CGGAGGGGUCAGAGGUCAGCUUCAAGAUGGCGUCAGGAGGCAAUUCUGUGGAAUAAAGUGGUCUUACGCCUCGAGCCGAGGUAGCAGCACGGGCUUUGGUUCAGCUAUUAGCGAGGGAACUGUCCGCGCCUUCAAGCGCAUCCCAAGUUAGGGUAGCGACAGGACAGGGAGCCAAGUCAGCGGACCAGUCAGGGCUGGAGACAGCACCCAACCUGUCCCCAAUAAUGAUGUUCCCGCCUGAGGGCCCAGGGGAGCUGGAACUUGCUUAUGCUGGCCUUGGGAAAAGGAUUAUUAGUACACACAGUGAGAUUGUGGCUCUCCUUGAGGAGGAGUUUCCAAAACCAAAAUUAUUAAAAGAAGGAUGGAUGUUCUUCAAAUCUACAGGUGGGAGCAGACGUUGCAAGCUGUCCAUAAUCCCUACUGACAACGAGGGGUACUCCACAAGGCUCCUCAAAUCAGUGUCCAACAACGGCAAAGACAUAGUGUUUGUUGUUCCACUACAGGAGCAACUUUCCACCGAAGCGCUUCCUUUUGAUUCGCCAGAGUUCGCAAAGAUGCCACAGUCAUGCUGCAUUUCAUGUGGCAGUGAAAUGCCUUUGCAGAGGUUGCCGCUGCAUGUAGAGGGAUGCAAUGGCAAAGUGACUGAGAGUGAACCUGUGACGCCUCUUGUAGAAGAUUGCCAAGUUAUUACGCAGCCUUUUCCACCAUGACAGGGAUGGGGGAAUCCUCAGAGGUUUGCCCAGUCUGUCUCGUAUCAUACCCAGUUGGUAUCCUCCCAUCUCACACAAGCACAUGUGGUGACAGUUCAAAGGACGGACCAGUCCAAUCAGCGACGAUUCCUGUCACCCAAGGGGGACGCUGACCUGACCCCUCCAGAUUCCACCUCCCUAAUAGACCCUCCACAGCCAUCACAGACAGAAGCCAUUCAACCAUCACCUGGUCAUUUGUCAGCUCCCGCUGGGAAAAAAGUCCAGUGUGACGGAGGCAGCAGUGGCUGCCACCCCAAGUGAGGUAGGCAGACAUCAGGUGGCUGAAAGAGGAUGCUGAAAGAGGGCAGUACAAGUACAGGAAAAGGAAAGUCCUCAAAAGUUACCCAAUGUGGUUUCACCCACCUGAAUUUCCUGGAGUGGUGGUGGGAGGAGGAGUGCCCUCAGCAGACUCUUUUUUUUAACAGCCGCAUGUUUUUUGGAGACCAGUUGGUGUGUGGGGUUACAGCCUUCGCUGUCCCAGGUCUGAGUGCCCAGCGCGAGCCAAGAAGGACACUUUUCUGUACCGCUGUGGCUCCUCAGAAACUGUCAGGCAGAUUUGCCACAUGUCCAGCUGGUACUCAAUGCUGACUGAGGUCCUGGCCUGUAAUGCUUGCAGGAAAGCUGUACAGGAGUCAAAAGAACAUGCCACUGGCCGCUUCCUGGCGUAGGAUGCAGGCAUUUUAAACCAGCUCAGUCCAGCUCACAGAGCCGCGUUCCCUGCUGUUUUAACGCCGUGACAUGGCGUGGACAAGCAAGUGGUCCCCCUGAUGAGGGAUCGAGUACCUGCACAGGAAAGACCUCAAGACAGAGCCUCGGCACAUUGGUCACGCGCUACCAACCGAGCUAAGCGGCGCCCCAAGAAGAUUUGCAAGAAACUUUCUGGAGAUGGAAAAGGCACUGCAGAAUGGUGCACCAACGUGGCCAAUCAACUUGGUCAGAUCCUCGUGGCUGUAAUCAAAAGUGAGGAGUCUCUGGACAAAAUGCGGCCAAUGGCUGAAGGCCUCAUGGAGGUACAGAAGAGCUGGUGAGGCACCUCCUGAACUGAUGUACGUGGACCGCGGCUGCUGUGGCGUUCAUGGUGUGUCACACCUGGAGCAGCUGUUCAGUGAGUGGGCCGACAGUGACAUGAUGGUGCGGCUUGACAUCUUCCACUGGAUUUACAGAUUUGAUGCAGCAGUCAGAGCAGAUCACCACCCCAAGUACGCUCUCUUCAAGUCUAAUAUUGGGUUCGUUGCCCUUUAAGGCAGGAACUCACCGGCCCAACCGUUUGACGUCUGAGGCGUUUGGAGAGACUCGGACGAGGUCGGGAACAUUUCUGUUCGGUGUGAAUCUGAGGAGGUUGGCUGUCGGCCGUCUAAGCCAUUGGAUUCUCUGAUUGGCGGUGUGCUAGUGAAUCAGCACGGUGUGUGAGGGGGCGGAAUACUGUACCGCAUUGGUUUUCUAUGCACUCUGUUCCAUCAUUUCUUGUUUUCAUGUUUUGGAGUAGUGGCAUGAGACUAGCUGUUAGUAUGUCCGUUCAGGAUGAAUUCAUCUGUGUUUGUUUGGUAAUGCCUCGUUGCAUGUUUAGUAUGCAGCUGUUUUUGUCUGAAAUAGUUAUGUCCAGUCCAGCAUCUUUAACACUAGAGCCAUCCGCUUAUCUCUCAAUCGCAGAAUAUGGAGGUGGGAAAUUUUCCCGCCUCCACAUUCUGCGAUGGGGCGCCGUCCUGAAGUUAACCAUCAAUUUUGGGGCACUUCCUGUUGGUCUAUAUCCACCAAAUUGGACUCUCUAUAUUUAGAAAUACACAAAAGACUCCCCUUGCAUGGCUGUUUAUUCAUUAAACUACCUGAGGUGGGAUGCCUCAGGGGAAGGAGGUAGGGUUAGGGAAAGGGAAGGGAAGGGGUAUAAAUGUGUGGCACUUUAACGAAACAAGUGAUGUGCAUGAUGGGUGCAGUUCUUGGGUGAUGGGGAGGAUGACGGUGAGGGAUCAGGUUAAAUAACAACGUAAAAACCUCAAGUUUCAUCUAUAUGACUGCACUAACAUACAUAAAUUUUGCUUCCACUUGGCAAGCUACAAAUGGAAACUCUGAAGUUUGCCUUAAGAGUUGGCUCGAAAAGGAAGCCAACGCUGACAAAUUACCAUUCUGGCUGUCAUGUCCAAGUGUCAACAGUAAGUGAAACUGUUAAGUGCUUUUAAAACUGCUAAAUGUUGGACUCUCGCAGUCUUUCUCUUUACUUUGUUUCUCCACAGUCCACCUCAAAGCACCUACUUUACACAGUUUUCAGAAUAACUGCUUGAAGUCAAAGCCCACUGACGGUUUUGUCAACCUGAAAGGUACUGCUUGCCUUUAGCGUACUCCACCUUAGCGCAUCCCAAAGCCCAAACAUUCACCUCCACCUCUAUGUGGCCUAAAGGGUGUGGGGAUUAUUUUUCUUAGGGAAGGGGAUGUUUAAAGCCAGCGGGCCCACCUGGUGCCCGCAGCAUGUGGCACACUAAGUUUGGACAGGUGACGAAACUGUAGACAGUGUUCUUGUUCCGUCAUCAUUUUCUAGACAAGAAAAGUGAGAAAGGAAAGGAAAGGAAAAGGGGGGUAUAGGGGUCCCCAUAUUUUUUUGAGCUGAAACUUGGUCUACCCCCACAUUUCCAGGUCCCCUGAGUCCACUGGUAGCAAUGGAUCAUGAAUCCGAGCAAGUAAAAGUUUCAUGAAAUUUGGUGAAAGUGUUAGAGUGAAAAUUCACCUUGCAGAAAGUUUUUAGGAGCACAUUUCAGGUCAUUUAGGUCUAUAGAUACCUAUAAAAAGUUGAAAAGUUUCCAACUUUUUGCUGAAAUUUAACCAAGUGUCAGAGUGAAACUCCUACUUCCAGAAAGUGUUUAGGAGCACAUUUCAGGGUUAGGGGUUAGGUAAGGUUUAAAAAAUGAUGAACCCCAGUAGCUGGGGGCAUCAUGCAGUGGAUCUGGUUCCUAUUGAUUUUGUAUUUAUUCAUCUGCCUUUUUUUUUUUUAAUUAUAAACCCCAAAUGAAACAAUAAAAAAUCCCUAUAAAAUGAAACUUAGGUGUAUAAAAAAUAGAAGAAGGUAAAUAAAGUAUUGUUGAAUUUUUAAAGGAACAUUUUUGUUGAAAAAUUGUUGAAGACCUCCUAAAAGUGGAAGAACAGGGGGUUUAUGAAGCCGAAGUGCUUCAGGGCUGCGGUCAUCUGAGCCCUCUGGAGAUUCCAGAGAUGCUUCGCCAUCAUCUCCAGGAUUUCCGCCUUCUCCAGUUUAGAGUGUCUGUAGCUAUCUUUUUUUUGAAUGCAUCCAGGAUGAGAGUUUUCAACUUGCCCAAGCUCUCGUUCAUUCUGGCUCUUCUCCUCUUUUCCUUAAUUGGCUUGGAUAAGUUUCUGUCUGUGAGUUUGUGUGAUAUUUUCUACGACUCGACAUUUUUUUAUGGACUCUUUUGUCUGGCCUCGGUGAUACUAGGGACUUGGACACUCCCUGGUAUCACAGAGGCACGCAAGCCUCUACGACACGUCAAGGCAGAGUCCAUGUGCAGGGAUCUAACUAACAAUAUUUAACGCUAACUAAUUAAAAAAUAACAAAAUGUACUGAAUGAAAUAUAAGUAACUGUGACUAAUUUUUAAAAAAAACUUAAACUAUGUAUAACUAUGUACAAAAACAACAAAGGAUGCCACUGUCUGUAAAAUGAAAAACAAAAACCAGGAUGUCACCUGGGACUCAAGCUGCCUGGAAAAAAACUACUUGUGGUCUUCUGUGUUUCUAACUUUGCUCAUGAUGUGUUUCAUUACAUUCUAUCAUCUUUAUCAUCAUCAUCAUCUGCUGCUGCUGGGGGUUGGGGUUUGGGUAGGGGUAGCAUCGUGGCACCUUAAGGAAGCAUUUGUUGAGCGACACAUUGUGCAUGAUUCUGUCAGGCUUAGUUUCGUUGCUCAUCCUCGACUCGCACGUGAGUUAGACUCUUUUGUCUGUGUUUCAAGACGGUCCGGGUGUGUUGCCGACAUCGCCCCAGACCCCUGGAGCCUUUUACUUGGGCCUGGCAAUGUGACACGGUUGGGGCGCACUGAGGACAUUCAGCCACCAUAUAGACACGGUUUGAUUAUUCAAAAGACCAUUCAAAGAUCAUAAAAGACUGCAAGUAUAAUUGAUAAAGUGUUUUUACUGUACCAAUGUGAUUAGACAACAAUUUGUUUAAAGUAUUUUUGUAAUAUACCAGUGUUACUAUCUGAGAUGUUUAUUUUAUUUUAUCAUCUUUGUAUUAUUUAAUUUCUCCUUUUUGUCCUUUGACUUAUAAUAGUUUGUUUGAAAUGUUGUGUAUGUCACCUGUGUCUCAGUGGAGUCUGGAAUAUUCGACGUACACUUCUGUGAGUUUAACUGUGCACACGUGUUUUGAGUAACAUGUCAGUGAAUGUAUCUUUCAAAAAUGGUCAGAAACAUCUCAAAAGUCACAAUAAGAUGAAAGACAUAAGUCAACCUCUGAACAUCAAACAUUUGAAAGUGAAGGCUUUUAGGCUUUAACAGGCGUCUGGGCACCUUGAGGAUGAUAUGAGUACUUAAUUAUUACAAAAAUGUGAUUCAAAAUUAUGACAGUAAAAGAGUACAGUUGAGUCUUUCUAUAGUUUUAAAAUCUCUCUCUGUGGAAAGGAAUGGGAUGUUAGAAGAUUUGAACAUCUGAUUAGCAAGUGUUGUAGUGAAAGAACAAGAAAGGGCUGACAUAUGCCAUUGAAGGAAAAUAAGUAUUUUUUAAACAACCUUUCAAAGCCUUGUAAGUAGUAAUUUCUGUUUAUGAGGUUCACCUGAAUGCACCACGAAGUCCCUUUUUCUGUUCAUGAUGGCACUGGAUUUCUCUACGUGCCAACGUGGCAGAUGGCCUCGCAAAAUCUACCUGCAUUUUUCGCUUGGUGGACGUUAAUUUCAGACCCUGUUAAGAUUUUACUUUAGGUGUUAUUGAAACAAAAGAUGGCAUUUAAAAUGUUACAAUUAUGCAAAAACACUUCACUGGAAAUAUUCAUGUUUUCCUUAUUUUCUCAUUAUUUGUGUAUAUAUUUGUUCAAACUGGACGCAAAUUUAAAGACUCCUAAUGUCAUGGUUCAUUUUGUGUUAUGUUUCGAUAUCAUGGUUCUGUGUCUUGUGUUGUAUUUUGAUUUUCGUGCCCGCUUGUGUCUCUUGUCCUUUAAUGCCCCGUUUACACCAAGGGAAGACGCAGAUAUUUCCCUGAGGUUUGUUGUAGUGGCUCUUCGUAUGUCUCUAGUCUCUGUGUUUUUGGUUUUUGCAUUUUUGAUUUGAACUUUGCUUUUUGUUUGCACUUUGUUUAGCUGUUUUGUCCUCGGUUUCUACUUUGCUUUGUGUUCCCUUUUUGUGGUUUAUUGUAUCUGGCUCCCUUUUGUGUAAUUCAGCUUUUUGAAUAAAGCUCGCUUUUUGCUCUCUCCAA